AAUGAACGUUGGCGGCGUGGAUUAGGCAUGCAAGUCGAGCGCUCAUAGCAAUAUGGGAGCGGCGAACGGCGUAGUAAUGCAUCGGAACGUACCCUUCGGUCGGGGAUAGCCACGGGAAACUGUGGGUAAUACCCGAUGAUAUCUGCGGAUCAAAGGUGAGAUUCCGCCGGAGGAGCGGCUGAUGUGAUAUUAGCUUGAUGGUGGGGUAAUGGCCUACCAUGGCGAUGAUGUCUAGGGGGUGUGAGAGCAUGGCCCCCACGACCGGAACUGAGACACUGUCCGGACACCUACGGGUGGCUGCAGUCGAGAAUCUUCCGCAAUGGACGAAAGUCUGACGGAGCGACGCCGCGUGCGGGAUGAAGGCCCUUGGGUUGUAAACCGCUGUCAGAGGGGAUGAAAUCUCCGGGGGUACUCCCCCGGAGUUGACAGAGCCUCAAAGGAAGCACGGGCUAAGUACGUGCCAGCAGCCGCGGUAAAGUCUAGCA
rnacentral:rRNA from 1 species